AUUGAACGCUGGCGGCAGGCCUAACACAUGCAAGUCGAACGAGUGGCGGACGGGUGAGUAAUGUCUGGGAAACUGCCCGAUGGAGGGGGAUAACUACUGGAAACUGUAGCUAAUACCGCAUACCAUCGGAUGUGCCCAGAUGGGAUUAGCUUGUAGGUGGGGUAACGGCUCACCUAGGCGACGAUCCCUAGCUGGUCUGAGAGGAUGAUCAGCCACACUGGAACUGAGACACGGUCCAGACUCCUACGGGAGGCAGCAGUGGGGAAUAUUGCACAAUGGGCGCAAGCCUGAUGCAGCCAUGCCGCGUGUAUGAAGAAGGCCUUAGGGUUGUAAAGUACUUUCAGCGGGGAGGCGUUACCCGCAGAAGAAGCACCGGCUAACUCCGUGCCAGCAGCCGCGGUAAUAC
rnacentral:rRNA from 1 species